rnacentral:rRNA from 1 species
CUCGUAGGCGGUUCGUCGCGUCCGGUGUGAAAGUCCAUCGCUUAACGGUGGAUCCGCGCCGGGUACGGGAGGGCUUGAGUGCGGUAGGGGAGACUGGAAUUCCCGGUGUAACGGUGGAAUGUAUAGAUAUCGGGAAGAACACCAAUGGCGAAGGCAGGUCUCUGGGCCGUUACUGACGCUGAGGAGCGAAAGCGUGGGGAGCGAACA